GGGAGGUAAGGUAGUGUAGUUAACACCUGCAUUAUUUGACGUUACCUACAGAAGAAGCACCGGCUAACUCCGUGCCAGCAGCCGCGGUAAUACGGAGGGUGCGAGCGUUAAUCGGAAUUACUGGGCGUAAAGCGCAUGCAGGCGGCCUGUUAAGUCAGAUGUGAAAGCCCCGGGGCUUAACCUCGGAAUUGCAUUUGAAACUGGCAGGCUAGAGUCUUGUAGAGGGGGUAGAAUUUCAGGUGUAGCGGUGAAAUGCGUAGAGAUCUGAAGGAAUACCAGUGGCGAAGGCGGCCCCCUGGACAAAGACUGACGCUCAGAUGCGAAAGCGUGGGGAGCAAACAGGAUUAGAUACCCUGGUAG
rnacentral:rRNA from 1 species